UUCCACUUGGGCUUAAAGCUGUCCUGCCAGA
rnacentral:piRNA from 2 species